AGUAUUUCUGCUACAGAUGCAAAUACUGAAUACAUAAAACAAUAAUAAUUUACCUAAAAUAAGGUUUUAUAGGCUAUGUUACAAGAUUCGAAGAGUGGAGAGCAAAUUUCCUCUGGCACCUAAUGACCCACCAGUUGAAGGAAGUGAAGGCAGCAUCACCUACACCUGUGGGAGAGGAUGAACACGGUUUAACCAUAGUAUAAAACUGGCAGUGUGCUAGUGUUUCUCCAGGAAAGCCUGAAGACUAUGCAGCAGUUAUGUGUACUGAGCUCUCCAUCUAGAGGGGGUUGUGCUUGUUUUGGCUGUGUCAGGGUAGGCGGUGCCUAAAGUAGGAACGAUACCUCCGUCAGCAAUGCAGAUUGAGCUCACAGGGAUCAACAUUGCCCCUGUUUAAAUGCUGCUAUUUGAUCAUCAAAGAUCACUUCUGCUUUCAAGCUAGAGCUGUUCACCUGGCCAUCCUGUCAAAUAUGUUUCAGCUGUUUCAGCACAGCCACCUCUUGCUUUAGAAGUCACUCCCGGCACGUAAGGAGAAAAGAUAUUUGACAAACUAGUUUUGCACACAUCCUGUCAUGGUUCUUUAAAGUUAUCUGCUUUCUUAUCAGCAGAUGUCCUAAACUGGCAUUUAUGUGCAUGGCAAGACUCUCCCAUGUUGCAGAAGAUAUGCUCCCAAGAGAACAGCCAUGGGCACAUGUCAGUGUGACUUCUUUUGCAGGAAAAAAAUAAAUCUGUAAAACCAACACCAAAGGCACCAGUGACCAUACUCACAGUUCUGUAACUGAGACAAAAUUCUCAGCUAGUACCACUUUUGACAGUCAAAAAAAAGUUCACCUGAGAGUAUUUUGAUCAUUUCUUUUCUUGAAAAUGGACACCAAUUUACAUCAUUCAUUUGAUCUUGGUUUUCCAAGGCACUUGACUAAGAUGUGCAAUAAUGAUUGCAUAGGAAAGAAUAAAUCUGUAGUUGAGUCUAAACACAAAUGAUUGCUUAUUGUUCAGUAGUGGUAGAAAGGUGCCUUGAAGUAAGCCACCGCUCCUUAAAAAUCUAGGUGCGUGUCAUUAUUCAUUAAAUAAGCACUUUCUACAUUCUUUCCUCUAUCAAGGAAUCUGAUUCAAUAGCAAAGACUCACUGCUUUGAAAUUGGGAAAGUACAGAUGUGUUGUCAGCCUGACCUUGAUCUCCUGAAACCUAGUUAGCUGCCUUGUUGCGUGCUUGCCCUGAAAUUUCAGGCUGGUAACUUGCAAUGCACUUCAUUACAAGGGCAGUUUACAGCAAACUGAACUACGUUUUGCAAACAGAACUGCCCAUGCUCACUGGUCUAAACAGAACCUCUGCAAGGACGAUCUUCAUUUUCCCCAGGGAGGCUUUCCUGCAGGAGUGUUGUUGCAGUAACUAUUUCAAGACCAAAAUAAUUACCAUGGGCUACACUUGUAUCAUAGAAUGGGCUGGAUUGAAAAGGGCCACAAUGCUCAUCGAGUUUCAACCCCCCUGCUAUGUGCCAACCACCAGACCAGGCUGCCCAGAGCCACAUCCAGCCUGGCCUUGAAUGCCUCCAGGGAUGGGGCAUCCACAACAUCCUUGGGCAACCUGUUGCAGUGUGUCACCACCCUCUGGGUGAAAAGCUUCCUCCUAAUAUCUAACCUAAACCCCCCCUGUUUCAGCUUAAAACCAUUCCCCCUUGCCCUAUCACUAUCCACCCUUGUAAACAGCUGUUGCCUCUCAUGUUUGUAUUACUCUAUAUGCACACAUCAUACAAUAUGGAACUGGUGGUGAGGUUUAGCUCAGACUAGAAGCAGCCUGAAUCUCUAGAGAACGUGCAGGGCAAGUACAAGGCUGGGCCACAGAGACAGGAAGCACAGCUAGCUGAGCCAGAAUCAAGGCUGCAACUGGUGCUGCUCUCAGUGCCAUCAGUGCUGGCUUGCUAGGGAUCUCUGAUCCCAUGCUCUCAUGGAGUUGUCCCCCAGCUCUGCUUUGCUAAUGAUUUGGAAAAAAUCCAAGGUAUGAAGCUAAAGAAAUGAUUGAAUAUAAUUCCCAAUAGAAGGGAGAGAAGCAAACACAAAAGUCUCUGCAGAUUCAAAGUUUAAACACCAACAUCUUAAAUAGAAAUAGACUAGUAAAACCUAUUAACAUUUUAUGAAUGCCCAUACCAGUGUCACUCUUUUAGAAGGAAAUUACGUAUUUACUAUUAGCAAACACAGAUUUUUCCAGUUACUAUCUUUUCUAUCAGUUUCAGUGCCAAGCAAGUCCUUUGUGUUUAUCUUUGUUUUGGAAAUAGCAUCUCUGUACAACUGUUUCUUUUAAAUUCAGAUGUUACUGAAAUUGCUUUUUCUCCCAGAGGGGAACUGUGAAAUGAGUGAAUUCUUGGCCAAAUAAAUAAAUAAAUUCUGUUGCAACAAGGCUAAGUUAUUGUUACUGCAGAAGCACAAACCAUUCUUCUUGUAGGAUUCAGCAGACAAUAGCUUGUACAUCUAAGUUAACCCCAAGUCCAUAAAAAAAACAUAUGUUGCAUGGACCACCAGAGUAUUGAAGGGCCAACAAGAACAUAAAUAGAGUCAAAUACAAACAUAAGCAAUCUUUGUGGAUAAGCUACACCAACAAUGAACCCUUUUAGAGCAAUGAGGCAGUGAAGUCUGAUCCUUUCCAGAGUAGUUGUUAACUGAGGUUAUGCCGAAUUUUUCAAGCUGUAAUGGUGUGAGUAGUUAAGGACAUGAACUCAUGACACACAACAGUAGUUCACAUCUCAGGCCUAAAAUAAGUCCCUGAACUUUACUAAAGUGAUCAAAAGCCUCAUCACAAACUUUGAGAGCAUAUUUUUUUGUUGACACUCUGAAUGGGUACCUGUCUUACACUGUCUAUGUAAUUUUUUUCUUCCCUUCUGUAAUAAGCUUAAAAAUCAUUGGGAAAGUUUUUACAGUGAUACCUUAAAGAUAAUCUGGAGAUAAAAUCAUUUAUUCAAUGAUUAGCCAAAGUCAGCUUUAAGUUUUGAUGCUGUUGAUUAAGAGAAAGAAGUGUGGCAAAAAAACAUAUAACACAGUCAAGGUUCAUUCUUGGUCAGCUUGUCUCCUACUGCCAUCUAUUGAAGUGCCCAGCAUCUUU